rnacentral:lncRNA from 1 species
AAGAUAAACUGAAUAAGGAAAGAGCCUGAGAGUUUAAAUAUUUGGCUUUUUUCAUCCCAUUCUGUUUGUAUUGAGUUUGUGUUUAUAAAGUUAUACAUGAAACCGAACUCAGAAAGAUCAGGAGUUUGUUCAAACUAUCUAACUAUCUAACGUAUACUUCAAACUCUAACGUUUGUUACAAAACUAACAAAGUUUCAAAAAAACUUCAACCAUGCGAGGCUUCAAUGGAGACAAACGUGGAAUUCCUCAGACUUGGUC